rnacentral:rRNA from 1 species
CCUACGGGAGGCAGCAGUGGGGAAUAUUGGACAAUGGGGGGAACCCUGAUCCAGCCAUGCCGCGUGUGUGAAGAAGGCCCUCGGGUUGUAAAGCACUUUCAGUGAGGAAGAACGCCUGGUGGUUAAUACCCAACAGGAAAGACAUCACUCACAGAAGAAGCACCGGCUAACUCCGUGCCAGCAGCCGCGGUAAUACGGAGGGUGCGAGCGUUAAUCGGAAUUACUGGGCGUAAAGCGCGCGUAGGUGGCUUGAUAAGCCGGUUGUGAAAGCCCCGGGCUCAACCUGGGAACGGCAUCCGGAACUGUCAAGCUAGAGUAUAGGAGAGGAAGGCGGAAUUCCCGGUGUAGCGGUGAAAUGCGUAGAGAUCGGGAGGAAUACCAGUGGCGAAGGCGGCCUUCUGGGCUGACACUGACGCUGAGGUGCGAAAGCGUGGGUAGCAAACAGGAUUAGAUACCCUUGUAGUC